GAAAGAUACUAAAGGUGUUGGUCAGUAUCUAUGCUGAUCAUGUCUCGAAAAAGUGCCAAUACUAUUGGUCAACACCUAUGCUAAACAAGUAUUGGAACAGUGCCAAGGCUCAUGGUUUGGUCUGUGACAUUCUGAUUAGUUAGGCCUUGAGUCUGUAGUCUUCACUCAGGUCGGCUCUACCUCCUUUUUCCUGCCACCCGGGACAAAGAAGUUGGCUGUAAUGUUUGGAAUGUUUUCUAUAGGUUAGUUUUGUGAAAUAGCCUCUUCAUUUAAAGUCUCUCUCUCUCUCUCUCUCCCUUUUUUUUUUGUGUGUGUGGGGGAGUGCAUUUUCUUAACUGUCUGCCUGUUUUACUAUCUAUCCUAUCUUAUUCAUAAAUACUUUUGUACUGUGUUGAUUUGGACAUAAGCACAAAAAUAUACGUUUAAUACAGAUGUAAUUUUUUCCUAUUGUAUUUUCUAUCCGUGGUUGCUUGAAUUCACAGAUAUAGAGGGCCAACUUUACUUAUGUAGAUCUGUGUCUGUGUUCUCAACUCUGUUUCAUUGAUAUAUUUGGACAUGACUUUUGGU
rnacentral:lncRNA from 1 species